rnacentral:lncRNA from 1 species
GAGAUAGAUGUGAGUGGCCAGCUCGCUGGUCUUGUUAACAAGCUUCACCAUAAAGAUGGAGAUGAUAAG